rnacentral:lncRNA from 1 species
UUAGAUAUUGCUAAACUGAAAAAACAAGUUUUUGAGGCAUCUCAGGCUCAUCUCACCCUAUUGCCUGGAGCUGAUAUUCUUGCUGGAGCCUCUGAUGGCCUUUCUAAUACCAAUCCUUUAAAGUGGAUUGAAACCAUAGGUGGAUCAACAAUUGCAAAUUUUAUUUUGGUUUGUGUCUGUUUAUGUUGCUUGUUUUUAGUCUACAGAUGCAGAUGGUGCCUUGGGAGAGAAACCAGACACCAUGAAUGAGCCAUAAUAGCAAUGGCAGUUAUUAAUAAAAAAAAAUCAAUAGAGGCAAAAAAGGGGAACAUGUGGGAAAGUGUUUCUGGGGUGCCAGUUGAGUUGGUCUCCCCUGUGUGAGACACCCAUGGGAAGCCAUGGGCAGCCUCUGGGGAGAAAAGUCUCCUUAUUGCUUUCAUGUCUUUAUGCCCCAAGAGCAUAACCACUCAGCAGCAUUCCACAGGUUGCUCAGGGAGACAACACUCCCUUGAAGCAGUGGAGUAUAAUCAAACAUCUUGGCUCCUCCUUAAACCCGCUCCCACCCAUUUCAGUCCUGAUAAGCUAAAGAUCUUAAGUAGUUUAGACACACGCCUUUGCUCAAGGAAAUUCACAGAAACCGCCACUGCUACACAUCUUAUGGAAUGACUCACGAGUUCUCCUUCACUGAUUAAUCCUUUUCCUCAUCCCUUCCUCCCCCUCCCAUCUGCCCUAAGAACAAAGAGCUUGUAAACCAGUAAAUUUGGCAGAGCUCAAGAGCUCUGGGCCGUGAGCAAGCCUCCGAUAUUCUGGUCCCCUGAACCCGCCUUUUAAAUGCUUAUUCUGUCUCUUUCUAACUCCUAUGUCUCCACCAGACUCAGGGUACCCACUGGGUGGUGUGGGGCUGGUUUCCCUAACAUUCCCCACCAAAUAAAGCAGCUCCAACCUUCUAGAUGGUUGCUCAGCUCAGAAGUCUUAGAGAAAUUCUGAUGCCUCUCCUCACAUUUGCUCUGUCGGCAAAUCCUGGUGUCACAAGAGGGCUCAGGAGGGUUUCUGGAUGCCAACGAGACCCCAGCCACAGCCGGUCCCCAGAUUCUUGACAUCAUCACAAGAAAGAAUUCACAGGGUUGCUUCAGCGUCCUCACAACAGGAUGGCUGACUUCCCCAAGAGAGCAGCUCAAGAGAGAGCAAGGAGAAAGACACAACAUCUUUAAUGAUCUAUGCUUGGAAGCUAUAUGUUGCCACUUUUGCAAUAUCCUACAGAUCGCUUAGCUCCAUCCAACAUGGAAAGGGAUCAGACACGGGCAUCAUUGCCAGAUGAUAAUCCCUGAUGGUCAUCUUGGAUGCUGGCCACCACAGUUACAUUUGAGAUGGUGCACAAGAAGGCUCUCGCCAGAUGCUGGUCUUGUGAUCUUGGACUUCCCAGCCUCCAGAACUGUUCUACUUGAAUCAUAGUUUCUUUGCUCCUGGGAGACCCCUGCUAUUCCCAGUGAUGCUGCGAACUGGGGUUCAAAGUGGGGUGGCCUGGUGAGGCCUAAAAUCCAUGUCCCGUGGAGAACUGCCUGCAUCCCUUACAGAACCUGCCACAUAUUUCUGCAGCUUCCAAGAGGAAGGCUGGAAUUUACUGAGCUUACUGAAGCCAAUUAUCCCAAGAGUAUGUGAUCCAGAAGCAAGAUAAAGAUCAAAAGGACUCAGCUGGGAUUUGGCCUUCUCCAAGUGGAAGGAAUAAAAUCUGCAAUUGGCUCUGAAAAUAAAAACCAAACAAAAUCUCAGGCAAUCAUAGACAUGGCUCUUUGCUAUUUAUGAGCUUUUCUUUCUUUCUUUUUUUUUUUAAUUUAAACAAAUGUUAAAAGAUUUUUGUGUGGACCUCAGAUUCCAGCUUUACACUGAAACUCAACAUUAGUGUCGAAGCACUUGCAGGCCAUAUGUGCUCCAGCGAGGGUUUGGGAAUGUUGGGUGGUGUUGGUGGGCACCCAUAAUUGCCACUUGCUAUCACGUGAAUGCCUUAGGCAUGACGGAUUGCCAGUGCCCCUCUGAGCAGUCACUUGGAAGCUUUGCCAAAAUAUAAAUAUGUAACAUGAACAGAGGGUGCGUGACUUUUUAACUGCAGUAGCCACCUUUCAGACACCUGAGGCUUUGGUGUCCUCAGUUCCAAAAGCCACACAGCAGCUCUUAACCUGGAGAGAGGAAGGCACCUGGGGAAAAGUCACGUUCUUCCAAAGCCUUCACAUCAAUCUUUCAUGGAUAUUGAGUUUUUAAAUGUUGGUGAUUGUCGUGUCUUUUGCAGCCUGACAUUUGGGAGGAAGGGUGUCGAACUUUAUUAUUUAAAAUUUUUUUUUUAAAUUUUAAUUUAAUUUAAUUUAAUUAUGGCAAGAACACUUAACAUAAGA